rnacentral:rRNA from 1 species
UACGGAGGGGGCUAGCGUUGUUCGGAAUUACUGGGCGUAAAGCGCACGCAGGCGGCUUUGCAAGUCAGAGGUGAAAGCCCGGGGCUCAACCCCGGAAUUGCGUUUGAGACUGCAUCGCUAGAAUUGUGGAGAGGUAAGUGGAAUUCCGAGUGUAGAGGUGAAAUUCGUAGAUAUUCGGAAGAACACCAGUGGCGAAGGCGACUUACUGGACAAAUAUUGACGCUGAGGUGCGAAAGCGUGGGGAGCAAACAGG